rnacentral:rRNA from 1 species
UCCUACGGGAGGCAGCAGUGGGGAAUAUUGCACAAUGGGCGCAAGCCUGAUGCAGCGACGCCGCGUGAGGGAUGAAGGCCUUCGGGUUGUAAACCUCUUUCAGCAGGGAAGAAGCAGCCGGGUUUUCUUGGUUGUGACGGUACCUGCAGAAGAAGCACCGGCUAACUACGUGCCAGCAGCCGCGGUAAUACGUAGGGUGCAAGCGUUGUCCGGAAUUAUUGGGCGUAAAGAGCUUGUAGGUGGUUUGUCGCGUCUGUUGUGAAAUUUCGGGGCUCAACCCCGAACUUGCAGUGGAUACGGGCAGACUAGAGUGUGGUAGGGGAGACUGGAAUUCCUGGUGUAGCGGUGAAAUGCGCAGAUAUCAGGAGGAACACCGAUGGCGAAGGCAGGUCUCUGGGCCAUUACUGACACUGAGAAGCGAAAGCAUGGGGAGCGAACAGGAUUAGAUACCCUGGUAGUCCAUGCCGUAAACGGUGGGAACUAGGUGUGGGUCUCAUUCCACGAGAUCCGUGCCGCAGCUAACGCAUUAAGUUCCCCGCCUGGGGAGUACGGCCGCAAGGCUAAAACUCAAAGGAAUUGACGGGGGCCCGCACAAGCGGCGGAGCAUGUGGAUUAAUUCGAUGCAACGCGAAGAACCUUACCAAGGCUUGACAUGUGCCGGAAAAGUGCAGAGAUGUGCUCCCCGCAAGGUCGGUACACAGGUGGUGCAUGGUUGUCGUCAGCUCGUGUCGUGAGAUGUUGGGUUAAGUCCCGCAACGAGCGCAACCCUCGUUCUAUGUUGCCAGCGGGUUAUGCCGGGGACUCAUAGGAGACUGCCGGGGUCAACUCGGAGGAAGGUGGGGAUGACGUCAAAUCAUCAUGCCCCUUAUGUCUUGGGCUUCACGCAUGCUACAAUGGCCAGUACAAAGGGCUGCGAUACCGCAAGGUGGAGCGAAUCCCAAAAAACUGGUCUCAGUUCGGAUUGGGGUCUGCAACUCGACCCCAUGAAGUCGGAGUCGCUAGUAAUCGCAGAUCAGCAACGCUGCGGUGAAUACGUUCCCGGGCCUUGUACACACCGCCAU